GAUGGGGAGGUAAUGAUGUUGAUUACAAGCACAUAUCUCAAUAGAAACGUGUGGAAAAACUUACACCUCUGAAUCUCCUCAUU